GAUAACAAAGAGCUUUACCUGUCAAAAGCAGUUCACAAAUCUGUCCUUGAAGUCAAUGAAGAAGGUUCUGAAGCUGCUGCUGCUUCAGGAAUGAUUGCAAUUAGUAGAAUGGCUGUGCUGUACCCCCAAAUUAUAGUGGAUCAUCCAUUCUUCUUUGUGGUUAGGAACAGAAUAACAGGUACCAUCAUUUUCAUGGGGAGAGUAAUGCACCCAGAAGUGAUGAAUCCAAGUGUGCAUGAUUUUGAAGAACUUUAAUAUCUCCACAGGUUUAUCCACACCCUCCCAAAAGAAAACAAGCACACUGAGUUUGCAAUUGAUGUAUUUAAGGUUUUCCAUGUGGUGAUUUACUUUCUUUUUUAGUUCUCUCUUUUUUGCAAUGUUACCUUUGAGAUACUAUUUAAAAAGACAAACUGUUUCCAGGUCUAACUUCAGCUGUGAAACUGCAGACCAUAGUUGUGGAAGGAAAGCUUUCAGUAUUAAAAGUAUAUGUUGUUGUCUUCGUGAUUUAUUGUGUUGGUCCUUUAAAAUAAAAUUUUAAAAGUAUCCAUGCCAGUGACCAUCUUCUUGUCUUGGGAACAUACCUGCCUCUCAAAUGAAGCCAUUCCAAAUUUCUGUAAUAGAACAUACUGAUGUGCCAUUGGGAAUUAAUUAUUUGUCAAGGCUCUUUGAAGCCUAAAUAUCCCAAGGUGCUCAGUUUUUUUCAGUAUUAAAGCCCUGGUGGGCCUUUGGGCGAUGUACAGGGGGACACAUUGCUGAAGUGGGAAGCACCUGGAUAGAAGUUAGAGAGGCUUAGGCCAUAACUAAUUUGGAUUUAUUUUAAUUUAAAUGUAAUUAAAAUUGAAUUAAGUAACUCUGGUUAAUAUGACCGUUCCCACGUAUGAUAUGCAUUUCCCUCUGUGUCACAAUAAAAUGUAUAAUUCAGCAUUAUUAUUUUGUGAGGGAUUCUUGGGGCUACAAGAGGUAAAACGCUAGACAUCUGUUACCUAACCUGCUAUCUCCCAACUUAGACAACUUUCAGAUGUCUGGACUCCAGUUUCCAGAAUUCCUCAGCCGAGCAUGGCAAUUGCUGAGAACUCUGGGUGUUGAAGUCCACACAACCAUAAGAUGGCCAGGUUGGAAAAUAAUAGUCUAACCCAUCGUGGAAGUAAUCCAUGACAUCUCCGUGUGGUCCACCAUUCUGACUUAUCUUCUCCUAUAAGCUUCAUCAAAAAUACCCCAUCUACUAUUUUGACCCCUAUGCAAAAGCCAGGGAAGUGAGGAAGACUCUCAGGAAAAAAAGGCAAGGAUCCCAGUAUUGAGCAGGGAAAAUAAUGGAACUUGAAGCUUUUGGGAAAGAAUUAUCCCAGAACCAUAACUCACUCUCACCUCAGGCUUGCCUCCAAUAAGGCGAGAGUUCCAGAAUGUGGGGAACUAUAGUGCUAUCUAAUCCUAAUGCAUUUGUAAAAGAUCAGGGGUAGAGGUCAUAUGACAUCUUGAAAGUAGCAUAAGCGCUACAGCAGUGCAUGAAGACAAUCUAUACUGCAGCUUUAAGUAGCAUAAUUCCUAUGGAGCAUUCUAGCCUUGCUUUGUUUUUCCUAGCAGUUCCCAAUGGCACCCACUAAUUUUUUUAAAUCAACGCCUCUUAGAAGAUAGGAAGUCAUUCCAGGGUGUGGAGUAACGAUAACCAGCACUGAGGAACUCAGAAGUGCUGGUGAGUCCCACUCCCUUUCAGAUCACUCUACCAAUGAACUCUCUCCUGAUACAGGUCAGCUAGACAGCUUUUUGAAACUUUUGCUCAGAAUUAUAAAUACAUUACAUUUGCUGUGGCAUCAGUCAUGGCUCUUUCCAUGUAAAGUAAAGCCUCCUUUGAGCUGAGCUUAGUUUCUGGGAUUUCGUGCAACAGCCAGGUGACCUUGGCUUAUCUUAAAAAGCUAAGCAGGGUUGGACUUGGUUACCAUUUGUAUGGGAGACCUCCCAGAAAAUAGGACUAUAGUCAAGAGGGGCAGGGGAAAUCCAGAAGGCAGCAAUACCCAGCCAAUUCCAUAUUGUUGCCAAGAAAACAAUAUGGGCUAUUAUGCAGUCUCAAAGUCAAUCUUCCUGUGAGUAAGAUUGAUGUGUGCCAAGAUGAAAAAUUGCACUACUUAAAAAAGAAAAUGCCAGUUUUAAAAGUGUUUCUGUAAUUGCUGCUGUAAUGUAAAAAAAGUGAUGUCCAUUUGAAACCGGGUAACUGUCACUCUAAAUGGCUGUGCUUCAUAAUCAGUGGGGAUGGGGGAGUUAAUUUAUCAAGAUUCCUUCCUGCAAGCAGAUUACAGGAAACCGUGCAAUUCUCUGUGCAACUCCAUGGAUUGUUCAUGAAAAGCAGCAAAUGUUUUUGUGACAUGGUGCUUAGCUGCCUUCUAUAGAUAAGAACCCAUCAUCCCACUCCAGUUAAAGAGAAUAAUAGUAAAAUCCCAUUCAAAGCACUGAAGCACCAAUGGAAGCCUUUCUUGUUCCUUUGAUUUCUAUAUGGAUUUGAUUCUGUUCUCUGUCAAAUGGUUAUUGGCAAGAUGUCCAGCACUAAUCUGCAUGUCCUUCCACACUGGUAACUUCCCUGUAUGUACCUUAGAUUUCCCUCCUCCCUCAGAAAAGCUUUAUACUCAUUCAAAUGCAAUUGUAUUGAUGCUUCUACAGAUUAAAAGCACUUUAUUAAUAAAGCAUGGGGAA